UUAUCGUGCUGUUAUGAAGUUGCUCCAAGUUGCCUGUGUGAAGAUGAAAGCAACUGCAGCCAUAUGGUUCCUGCCCAUGCUUUAUGUAUUACUGCCAGCUGAUGAGGAUGCCAGGCAUGAACAAACUCCCAGCCUACAAUGGAUAUCACGCGACCCAGAAGCACAAAAGGAAAUCUUGAACAUUCUGGAUAUCUAUGGCAAGAAAAUUAAGCAUAAAACAUUCGUGUUUCACAUUUUGGACAUGUUCUCUGUGAAAGAUGGAAAUCCCAGGCUCUUAAGCAGCUUAGACAUAUCUCCAGUUGAACUCUUCCCUUACCUAGUGAAAUGGCAAGACCGUUUCUCAUUAAAGAUAUUUCCUUCAACAGUACGGAUUAUUGCUGAUUUAACCAAGAAUUGCUUGACAAAGAGGCAUGAGGAGAGCGGCACUUCAGAACCAGAAAUCAUGAUUGCUUUCAGUUCUGCAAUAAGUGUCAUUUGCAAUUCAAUGAAAGAACGUGAGUUUAAGAGCGACAUACAGAACACUGUAUCAUCACUGGCUCUCCUCAAUGCCUUCACUGGACACAU